rnacentral:tRNA from 2 species
UAAGUUAAAGCCCGCUGGAUUGGGCACCUAGUUGUUAAUUAGGGUUUCGUGGGAUCAAGGCCCGCUGGCUUAG